AUGUCGUGAUGUGGACACUUCCUAAGCAAAUCAUUUAGGCGCUCCUAUGCCUCAUGAAACAAUUCCCCUUUCCUUUGCGAAAAUUCACAAAUGGAGGUUCUCAUUGU